rnacentral:misc_RNA from 1 species
GAUGAAGAACGUAGCGAAAUGCGAUAAGUAAUGUGAAUUGCAGAAUUCAGUGAAUCAUCGAAUCUUUGAACGCACAUUGCGCCCUCUGGUAUUCCGGGGGGCAUGCCUGUCCGAGCGUCAUUACAACCCUCAAGCUCAGCUUGGUGUUGGGCCCCGCCGCCCCGGCGGGCCCUAAAGUCAGUGGCGGUGCCGUCCGGCUCCGAGCGUAGUAAUUCUUCUCGCUCUGGAGGUCCGGUCGUGUGCUCGCCAGCAACCCCCAAUUUUUUUCAGGUUGACCUCGGAUCAGGUAGGGAUACCCGCUGAACUUAAGCAUAUCAAUAAGCGGAGGA